rnacentral:tRNA from 1 species
GCACUCGUGGCGAAAUUGGCAGACGCGCUAGACUUAGGAUCUAGUCCCGAAAGGGGUGGGGGUUCAAGUCCCUUCGAGUGCACCA